rnacentral:lncRNA from 1 species
AAUGGGUUCAAAGGAAUAUUUUAAAUAUAUACAAAAACGUACAAGGUGCAUACAGAAAUAUAUGUGUACUGAAGGAACAAACUCAAUCAAAACCAACAAAAGAAAUGAAAGUAAAACAAAAAAAAUAAGAAAGAAAAGAACCCAAAUUAUAAAGAAUAAAAAAAACGAAAAACCAUAAAUCCAUUGUAAAAACAAAGCAUAAAUAAGAAUUAACAAAAUAAAAAAAUGAAGAAAAAAGUAAAACAACCUAGGAAAAACGAAAGAAAAGGAAAAAAGGAAUAAAAAGAAAACAAAGUAAGCAUACCGAACAGACCGAAAUCAUCGACCGAAUAAGGAAGAGGGAAUGCAGCGAACGACAACAAUUAAAUGGGCCAGCCCAUACGAGAUUUCUAAUAGAAUUCUGUACGAGGGAGAUAUAGCCCGAAA